rnacentral:rRNA from 1 species
GACGACGAGUGGCGAACGGGUGAGUAAUACAUCGGAACGUGUCCGCUCGUGGGGGACAACCAGCCGAAAGGUUGGCUAAUACCGCAUGAGUUCUACGGAAGAAAGAGGGGGACCCGCAAGGGCCUCUCGCGAGCGGAGCGGCCGAUGACUGAUUAGCCAGUUGGUGAGGUAACGGCUCACCAAAGCAACGAUCAGUAGCUGGUCUGAGAGGACGACCAGCCACACUGGGACUGAGACACGGCCCAGACUCCUACGGGAGGCAGCAGUGGGGAAUUUUGGACAAUGGGCGCAAGCCUGAUCCAGCUAUUCCGCGUGUGGGAUGAAGGCCCUCGGGUUGUAAACCACUUUUGUAGAGAACGAAAAGACAUCUUCGAAUAAAUGAUGUUGCUGACGGUACUCUAAGAAUAAGCACCGGCUAACUACGUGCCAGCAGCCGCGGUAAUACGUAGGGUGCGAGCGUUAAUCGGAAUUACUGGGCGUAAAGGGUGCGCAGGCGGUUGAGUAAGACAGAUGUGAAAUCCCCGAGCUUAACUCGGGAAUGGCAUAUGUGACUGCUCGACUAGAGUGUGUCAGAGGGAGGUGGAAUUCCACGUGUAGCAGUGAAAUGCGUAGAUAUGUGGAAGAACACCGAUGGCGAAGGCAGCCUCCUGGGAC